CUUUUCCUGCAGAGGGUGCUUCACUAGAACAACUUUUCUGAUUUUUUAUUCCUUUGCAUACUCCUCUCUAGGAGAAGUGAAGUGGCUUAUGUUUUUCAUCAGUUUCAAAGCCCCCUCUUCUCAUAUUUUCUCCCCUCUUUGGGACCCAGCUGCCAAGGAACAGGCUUUGUGUCCCAUCCCCCAUGCGUUCCUUUGCCUGCAUUAAGCAUUCAGAAGUCAAGAAAAGAAGAGUGUGGUUUCUUGGGCUGCUUCAGAAGCCAAAAUUAAGAAUGCAGUAGUGAAAAUGUGACUAUGAUCAUCUCAGAGCACUGUGUGGAUAAAAUGGCUAUCAAAGUAAAAAUUCCUAUUUACCAUACUGAAGACUUCUGACUCUUGAGGCAAAAGGAAUUCUGAGGGCAUAAAUGGGAGACCUUCUAUUUUAUAGAAGUUUUGGAUUCUGCAAGUUCCAGGCUCAAUACUGGUGUGGGACCACUUAGCUCCUUUCAAUGAAUUUAUGAUUAAGCAAGAGUUUCAAGUUCUGCCUCAAUCUUGCCAGAGCCCUAAGGCAUAGUCCCUGGAUGACAGAGCUGAUGAAGACAUCUGCCUCAAGAUUCAAGCUUUGGGGUAUGAAAACAGUGUUCAAAUAAAGCUGCUAGAGGUGCUUUCAAACACUGCCAAAAACGAAGAUGACAUGAUGAUAAUCUAAUAGACUUGGAGCCAGCAUCUGACACAUGAAGGCCAUCAUCGGAUGUGGGCUGAUUGAUCUUGGACUUCCAAGCCUCCAGAACUGUAAGAAAUACAUUUCUGUUCUUUAUAAAUUACCCAGUCUAACGUUUCUGUUACAGCAGCACAAAAUAGAAUAAGACAUGGCAAAAAUGUAGAAGGCUAGAGACAGUAAGACUAAGCUACUAUAUCCACACGGAAAGGAUAUUGUUAAAACUGGUCCUAGGAAAUACUGAGAAGUAAA
rnacentral:lncRNA from 10 species